AUUGAACGCUGGCGGCAGGCCUAACGCAUGCAAGUCGAGCGGAUGAAGGGAGCUUGCUCCUGGAUUCAGCGGCGGACGGGUGAGUAAUGCCUAGGAAUCUGCCUGGUAGUGGGGGAUAACGUCCGGACACGGGCGCUAAUACCGCAUACGUCCUGAGGGAGAAAGUGGGGGAUCUUCGGACCUCACGCUAUCAGAUGAGCCUAGGUCGGAUUAGCUAGUUGGUGGGGUAAAGGCCUACCAAGGCGACGAUCCGUAACUGGUCUGAGAGGAUGAUCAGUCGCACUGGAACUGAGACACGGUCCAGACUCCUACGGGAGGCAGCAGUGGGGAAUAUUGGACAAUGGGCGAAAGCCUGAUCCAGCCAUGCCGCGUGUGUGAAGAAGGUCUUCGGAUUGUAAAGCACUUUAAGUUGGGAGGAAGGGCAGUAAGUUAAUACCUUGCUGUUUUGACGUUACCAACAGAAUAAGCACCGGCUAACUUCGUG
rnacentral:rRNA from 1 species